UAGGGAAUCUUCCGCAAUGGGCGAAAGCCUGACGGAGCAACGCCGCGUGAGUGAUGAAGGUCUUCGGAUCGUAAAACUCUGUUAUUAGGGAAGAACAAAUGUGUUAGUAACUAUGCACGUCUUGACGGUACCUAAUCAGAAAGCCACGGCUAACUACGUGCCAGCAGCCGCGGUAAUACGUAGGUGGCAAGCGUUAUCCGGUAUUAUUGGGCGUAAAGCGCGCGUAGGCGGUUUUUUAAGUCUGAUGUGAAAGCCCACGGCUCAACCGUGGAGGGUCAUUGGAAGCUGGAAAACUUGAGUGGAGAAGAGGAAAGUGGAAUUCCAUGUGUAGAGGUGAAAUCCGCAGAGAUAUGGAGGAACUCCAGUGGCGAAGGCGACUUUCUGGUCUGUAACUGACGCUGAUGUGCGAAAGCGUGGGGAUCAAACAGG
rnacentral:rRNA from 1 species